rnacentral:rRNA from 1 species
UUACUGGGCGUAAAGCGUGCGUAGGCGGCUGAUUAAGUCGGAUGUGAAAUCCCUGAGCUUAACUUAGGAAUUGCAUUCGAUACUGGUCAGCUAGAGUAUGGGAGAGGAUGGUAGAAUUCCAGGUGUAGCGGUGAAAUGCGUAGAGAUCUGGAGGAAUACCGAUGGCGAAGGCAGCCAUCUGGCCUAAUACUGACGCUGAGGUACGAAAGCAUGGGGAGCAAACAGGAUUAGAUACCCUGGUAGUCCAUGCCGUAAACGAUGUCUACUAGCCGUUGGGGCCUUUGAGGCUUUAGUGGCGCAGCUAACGCGAUAAGUAGACCGCCUGGGGAGUACGGUCGCAAGACUAAAACUCAAAUGAAUUGACGGGGGCCCGCACAAGCGGUGGAGCAUGUGGUUUAAUUCGAUGCAACGCGAAGAACCUUACCUGGUCUUGACAUAGUAAGAACUUUNCAGAGAUGGAUUGGUGCCUUCGGGAACUUACAUACAGGUGCUGCAUGGCUGUCGUCAGCUCGUGUCGUGAGAUGUUGGGUUAAGUCCCGCAACGAGCGCAACCCUUUUCCUUAUUUGCCAGCGGGUUAAGCCGGGAACUUUAAGGAUACUGCCAGUGACAAACUGGAGGAAGGCGGGGACNACNUCAAGUCAUCAUGGCCCUUACNACCAGGGCUACACACNUGCUACAAUGGUCGGUACAANGGUUGCUACCUANCNAUAGGAUGCUAAUCUCAAAAACCNAUCGUAU